rnacentral:rRNA from 2 species
CUACCUUGAGCUACGGGAUAACAGAGAGAAAUUUCUGCUAAUACCGUAUGUGGCCUUUGGGCGAAAGAUUUAUCGGCUUAAGAUGAGCCCGCGUUGGAUUAGCUGGUUGGUGGGGUAAAGGCCUACCAAGGCGACGAUCCAUAGCUGGUCUGAGAGGAUGAUCAGCCACACUGGGACUGAGACACGGCCCAGACUCCUACGGGAGGCAGCAGUGGGGAAUAUUGGACAAUGGGCGCAAGCCUGAUCCAGCCAUGCCGCGUGAGUGAAGAAGGCCUUAGGGUUGUAAAGCUCUUUCACCGGUGAAGAUAAUGACGGUAGCCGGAGAAGAAGCCCCGGCUAACUUCGUGCCAGCAGCCGCGGUAAUACGAAGGGGGCUAGCGUUGUUCGGAUUUACUGGGCGUAAAGCGCGCGUAGGCGGAUAGAUAAGUCAGAGGUGAAAUCCCGGGGCUCAACCCCGGAAUUGCCUUUGAUACUGUUUAUCUUGAGUGCAGAAGAGGUAAGUGGAAUUCCGAGUGUAGAGGUGAAAUUCGUAGAUAUUCGGAGGAACACCAGUGGCGAANGCGGCUUACUGGUCUGCAACUGACGCUGANGCGCGAAAGCGUGGGGAGCAAACAGGAUUAGAUACCC